GUCUACGGCCAAACCACCCUGAACGCGCCCAAUCUCGUCUGAUCUCAGAAGCUAAGCAGGGUCAGGCCUGGUUAGUACUUGGAUGGGAGAAUAAAAGAGCCCUUGCACUGUUUAUU
rnacentral:rRNA from 1 species